AUAAUUGUUUUAACUAUCUGAAACUACGUUGUUUUAUCAAAUAAUUGCCGCGUUCUGCAAAUAAAUAUAGGUAACCGUAAACGUAAUAAACAGCCUUUUAAUAAUUACAGAAUAUUAUUUCAAAUUCACAAAUCUACUCGCGUAAAUUUAAUUGAGCUAUUAUCCCAUCAAUUAAAAAUGAAGAUUUUGUUCAUAAUUCUAAUAAUUGCAUUGUAUGCUUCCGAACUGGAUGCGUGUCAAAAGGAGGGUUACUCGUGUAACAAGAUUAUUAAACCUUGUUGUGAUGGUUUCUAUUGCAAUAAAUGGCGAGGAGACGGACAAUGUGUCCCGAGUAUACCAAAAGAAGAUCCAUACGCGAAUGCUAACAGCAUGGACGACUUACUUGACCUGAUUGACAGUAAUCGAUAUGAACAGUGAAAAUUAAAUGAUUAAUCAUUAUGGACGGUGGAGAAAAAGGUCCUUCAUGAUAUAAUGUAAUUUAAUUAGUUUUUAUAUACUAUAAAUUACAUUUAUCAUUAAAAUUGUUAUUAUUGAUAAAAUAAUAAUAAUAACAAUAAUAAUAAUGAAAAUAAUAAUAAUAAUAAUAAUAAAUUUUUUUUUUGAUUCCCGACUAGAAUUUCUUCAUGAUUUGCCUGAAGUACCAUAAGGACCUUAUCGGGUUAAUAUAAGGUUUGCCUUAUUAGGGCAAACGUGACAAGUUCCUUGUCAGGACCUCAUCAAGAUAUCCUUAUUCAAAAAACAGUUAUUUGCCAUCGGGUCAACCUGACAAGUUCCUGAUCAGGACCUCGUCAGGAUAUCUCUAUUAAAAAAAAAGUUAUUUGCCAUCGGGUCAACCUGACGAGUUCCUGAUCAGGACCUUAUCUGGAUAUCCUUAUUCAAAAAAAGUUAUCCCAUCUCUUUAAAUAUUUCAUUUACAGGCUAAAAAUUAAAAAAAGUACGAAAGAAUAUUAUAUAAAAAUCACGUCAAUCAUUGUAGCACAGAUUUUUUACUUUUUCAUCAGUUAUUCUUUGACAUCAUAAUGAAUAUUAUAUUUACACUUUCAAGAUCACUUGUGUAUGUUAGCCCAGUGGAUAGCAUCGAGGACUUUGAAUCGAAAGGACGCAGGUUCGAGCCCAACAGUUAUCGGGAUUUUUUCAUCAAUAAAAAAUAUGUUUACUUCCUUUAAUUAAUGCUCUCAAUACAAUAGAUAACAUUCUCGAUCGAAUUAAAAUUCUCUUAUUUUUUUUUGCAAUUUAAUAUUUUUUUAAAAGUAAUUACUAAUAAGGUAAUCCUGAUAAGGAUUUGAUGAGGAUAUCCUGGUAAGGACCUGAUAAGGCAAUCCUGAUAAGGACGUGAUGAGGAUAUCCUGGUAAGGUCCUGAUAAGGCAAUCCCGAUAAGGACCUCAUGAGUCUUAAGCGUUACAUCCAUAUCAGGAUCCUCGUCAGGAUACCCUGAUCGGGACCUUAUUUGAAAUAAGGUUAACCCGAUAAGGACCUCGUCAGGCCCUUAUGAAAAAUUCUAGUCGGGUAUAUUAAUACGUAAUGUCGUAUAUUAUUUAGUUGUAUUUAUUGAUAUUCCGAUAGCAGAUGCUAUUAUUCUGAUAAAUUGGCUUCAAAAUAUGCACUUUUCCGUUAAAAUUUCACGUUAAAAUAUAAUGUUAUAAACAAUUGUUAUUGGUAUUUAUAAUUAAUAAAAAAUUGUUUCACAUAUCAAUAAAUCAACUUAAACCUGACAAUUUAGUUAAUUU